rnacentral:rRNA from 1 species
AGGACGAACGCUGGCGGCGUGCUUAACACAUGCAAGUCGAACGGUAAGGCCCCUUUGGGGGUACACGAGUGGCGAACGGGUGAGUAACACGUGAGCAACCUGCCCUUGACUUCGGGAUAACAGUUGGAAACAGCUGCUAAUACCGGAUAUGCACCGUCUUCCUGUUGGGGGGUGGUGGAAAGCUCCGGCGGUCAGGGAUGGGCUCGCGGCCUAUCAGCUUGUUGGUGAGGUAAUGGCUCACCAAGGCUUCGACGGGUA